rnacentral:rRNA from 1 species
AACGAACGCUGGCGGCAUGCCUAACACAUGCAAGUCGAACGAGACCUUCGGGUCUAGUGGCGCACGGGUGCGUAACGCGUGGGAACCUGCCCUUAGGUUCGGAAUAACUCCCCGAAAGGGGUGCUAAUACCGGAUAAUGUCUUCGGACCAAAGAUUUAUCGCCUUUGGAUGGGCCCGCGUUGGAUUAGCUAGUUGGUAGGGUAAAAGCCUACCAAGGCGACGAUCCAUAGCUGGUCUGAGAGGAUGAUCAGCCACACUGGGACUGAGACACGGCCCAGACUGCUCAGGGAGGCAGUUGGGGGGAAUAGUGGACAAGGGGCGAAAGUAUGAUCCAGCAAUGACGGGGGAGGGAUGAAGGGAUGAGGGGUGCAAAGCUCGUUUACCCGGCAGGAUAAUGACAGUACCGGGAGAAGAAGCUCCGGAGAAAUACGU